rnacentral:tRNA from 1 species
GGAUUGUGGCGCAGUGGUAGAGCACUCACCUAGCAUGUGCAAGGCCCUGGGUUCAAUCCUCAGCACCA